rnacentral:rRNA from 1 species
AUUGAACGCUGGCGGCAGGCCUAACACAUGCAAGUCGAACGAGUGGCGGACGGGUGAGUAAUGUCUGGGACACUGCCCGAUGGCGGGGGAUAACUACUGGAGACGGUAGCUACUACCGCAUACCCUCGGGUGUGCCCAGAUGGGAUUAGCUAGUAGGUGGGGUAAUGGCUCACCUAGGCGACGCUCCCUAGCGGGUCUGAGAGGAUGACCGCCCAAACUGGAACUGAGAGACGGGCCGGACUCCGACGGGAGGCAGCAGUGGGGAAUAUUGCACAAUGGGCGCAAGCCGGAUGCAGCCAGGCCGCGUGUAGGAAGAAGGCUUGAGGGUCGCAACGUACUUUCAGCGAGGAGGCGUUCCCAGAAGAAGAAGCACCGGCUAACACCGUGCCAGCAGCCGCGGUAAUAC